AGUGGGGGAUAACGUAGCGAAAGUUACGCUAAUGCCGCAUAUUCUGUGAGCAGGAAAGCGGGGGAUCGCAAGACCUCGCGCUUCCGGAGCGGCCGAUGUCGGAUUAGCUAGUUGGCGGGGUAAAGGCCCACCAAGGCGACGAUCUGUAGCGGGUCUGAGAGGAUGAUCCGCCACACUGGGACUGAGACACGGCCCAGACUCCUACGGGAGGCAGCAGUGGGGAAUUUUGGACAAUGGGGGCAACCCUGAUCCAGCCAUGCCGCGUGAGUGAAGAAGGCCUUCGGGUUGUAAAGCUCUUUCAGCCGGAAAGAAAUCGCACCGAUUAAUACUCGGUGUGGAUGACGGUACCGGAAGAAGAAGCACCGGCUAACUACGUGCCAGCAGCCGCGGUAAUACGUAGGGUGCGAGCGUUAAUCGGAAUUACUGGGCGUAAAGCGUGCGCAGGCGGUUUUGUAAGACAGGUGUGAAAUCCCCGGGCUUAACCUGGGAACUGCAUUUGUGACUGCAAGGCUAGAGUGUGGCAGAGGGGGGUAGAAUUCCG
rnacentral:rRNA from 1 species